rnacentral:rRNA from 1 species
UACGAAGGGGGCUAGCGUUGCUCGGAAUUACUGGGCGUAAAGGGUUCGUAGGUGGCUUGCUAAGUCAGACGUGAAAUCCCUCAGCUUAACUGGGGAACUGCGUCUGAUACUGGCGAGCUUGAGUGCAGGAGAGGAACGCGGAAUUCCAGGUGUAGCGGUGAAAUGCGUAGAUAUCUGGAGGAACACCGGUGGCGAAGGCGGCGUUCUGGACUGCAACUGACACUGAAGAGCGAAAGCCAGGGGAGCAAACGGG